GCCGGGGUGGCGGAAUUUGGUAGACGCGUGGGAUUCAGGCUCCCAUGUCUUUAAGACGUGCGGGUUCAAGUCCCGUCCCCGGCA
rnacentral:tRNA from 1 species